GACGAACGCUGGCGGCGCGCUUAACACAUGCAAGUCGAGCGAAGCGGCGGACGGGUGAGUAACACGUGAGUAACCUGCCUUAGACAUUGGGAUAGCCUCGGCAAACCGGGAUUAAUACCAAAUGGUCUAAGAUGGACUCGCGUCCCAUUAGCUAGUUGGUGGGUAACGGCCCACCAAGGCGACGAUGGGUAGCCGGCAGGGGAGGGUGAACGGACACAUUGGACCUGAGAAGCAGUCGAAAAUAUACGGGAGGGAGCAGUGGGUAAUAUUGCACAAUGGAGGGAACUAUGAUGCAGCGACGACGCGUGAACGAAGUAGGCUUUCGAGUAGUAAAGUUCUUUUAUAUGGGAAGCGGUACCAUAAGAAAAAGCCCCGGCUAACUACGUGCCAGCAGCCGCGGUAAUUC
rnacentral:rRNA from 1 species